AUGUGCCCCCAGGACCUGGUCGGAUGUGCCCCCAGGACCUGGUCGGAUGUGCCCCAAGACGGGCGGAUGUGCCCCCAGGACCUGGUCGGAUGUGCCCCCAGGACCUGGUCGGAUGUGCCCCAAGACGGGCGGAUGUGCCCCCAGGACCUGGUCGGAUGUGCCCCCAGGACCUGGUCGGAUGUGCCCCCAGGACCAGGUCGGAUGUGCCCCAAGACGGGCGGAUGUGCCCCCAGGACCUGGUCGGAUGUGCCCCCAGGACCUGGUCGGAUGUGCCCCCAGGACCUGGUCGGAUGUGCCCCCAGGACCUGGUCGGAUGUGCCCCCAGGACCUGGUCGGAUGUGCCCCCAGGACCUGGUCGGAUGUGCCCCCAGGACCUGGUCGGAUGUGCCCCCAGGACCUGGUCGGAUGUGCCCCCAGGACCUGGUCGGAUGUGCCCCCAGGACCUGGUCGGAUGUGCCCCAAGACGGGCGGAUGUGCCCCCAGGACCUGGUCGGAUGUGCCCCAAGACGGGCGGAUGUGCCCCAAGACGGGCGGAUGUGCCCCAAGACGGGCGGAUGUGCCCCCAGGACCUGGUCGGAUGUGCCCCAAGACGGGCGGAUGUGCCCCCAGGACCUGGUCGGAUGUGCCCCAAGACGGGCGGAUGUGCCCCAAGACGGGCGGAUGUGCCCCCAGGACCUGGUCGGAUGUGCCCCCAGGACCUGGUCGGAUGUGCCCCAAGACGGGCGGAUGUGCCCCAAGACGGGCGGAUGUGCCCCCAGGACCUGGUCGGAUGUGCCCCAAGACGGUCGGAUGUGCCCCAAGACAGGCGGAUGUGGCCCCAGGACCAGGUCGGAUGUGCCCCCAGGACCUGGUCGGAUGUGCCCCCAGGACCUGGUCGGAUGUGCCCCCAAGACGGGCGGAUGUGCCCCCAGGACCUGGUCAGAUGUGCCCCCAAGACGGGCAGAUGUGGCCCCAAGACCUGGUCGGAUGUGCCCCCAAGACGGACGGAUGUGGCCCCAAGACCAGGUCGGAUGUGCCCCCAAGACGGGCGGAUGUGCCCCCAGGACCUGGUCAGAUGUGCCCCCAAGAUGGGCAGAAGUGGCCCCAAGACCUGGUCAGAUGUGCCCCCAAGAUGGGUGGAUGUGCCCCAGGAUGGGCGGAUGUGCCCCAAGACGGGCGAUGUGGCCCCAGGACCAGGUCGCAUGUGCCCCAGGACGGGCGUGCUGCCGGCAUACUGCAGCAGGUUUACGCCAGGGAAGACCUCGCGAGGCCCCUCAGUUUCCAGCAGCAGAAGCGUGGUUAGCCUUGUGUUCUGAACGCACGGAAGAAGAGAGGUGUUCGAGACGUGGUUUCGGUAGGAGAAGGUUUUUAAUUAAAGCCUUAAGUGAUUCCAAGAAGGAUAUACCUUGUUAAAGAACGUUCUCUUGGCAAAUCUGCUGCUUUAGAAGCAGACCCUUUUAUGCGGCUGUGAGUCUCAGGGAUUUGGGUUAUAUGUUUAUUUUUAUUUUAAUUUUUAUAUUGGAGCGUGUGGGGGAGUUGGGCGGAGGGAGAGAGCGACACAGUCCCAAGCAGGCUCAAUCCCUGAGGUCACAGCCUGAGCCAAAAUCAAGAGUCCGACACUCAGCUGAACCCCCCCGCCCCCCCGCCACGGCCCUAUGUUUUUAUGUUUUAAACAAGCAUAUGAGUGACUGCUUGGUGACAGGGACUGGGCAUACGACGGUGAGGAAAAUAACACUCAGGAAGCUCACAGGGUGACAGAGAGACAUGUAAUAAAGUGGUAACAACAGGGGCGCCUGGGGGGCUC
rnacentral:lncRNA from 1 species